rnacentral:lncRNA from 1 species
AUACAUAAGUGUUAAAUACCCUUAUUUUUCUGGUAUAGCCAAAAUAGUCUCUUUAUUGACCAAGUGAAUCUAGUUACCUUCUCUGUUGCACUAACAGUUCUCUAGCACUGCCUAUUUUGGCUUAACAGCCCCCUAAUAGCUUACCAUGUUAACAACCAAGCUUGGCUUGGCCCCGUGAGGCUUGGCUAAGCUUGGUGUGGCCUCGUGUGGCCUCGCGGUGCCAAGCCCAGCCCAUCAGCUCCAACAUCCCCUUAAUAGGCUCUAGUGGAUCACCAAUAGGCUCGGUAAUAGUAUAAAUGUUCGCAACUACCCGACCAAUAAAAUUUUUUUGCCAGAGUCUCCCCUGUAAUAUGGACUAGCCACAUGCACGACGGCAUGUAUAUAAGAUUCAAUCAAUCAGACUAUAACAGGAAUAAAAAGAUAUUCAAUCAACCAACAGAUGGUCUUCAAUAUUUACUCUCAAGUCCUAUCUGGGUUUUUAGUUUAUUUAUUUUUUCUGUAUGAGUAAUGUUAGAUGUUUCAAAUGAUUUGAUAUUAUUAUAUUGAUAUUUCGAUAUUUUUGUGUACAUCACAUUAAUUAGUCACUGAUUUCUAAGGAUACAUGUUUGGUGAAAAUGAUAAUUUGUGGCAUGUUUAGAAACCUCUAUGGGCCUUUCCUUCCUCCAGAGGAAUGGUAGUGACUAGUGAGUGAGAUUGCCAUUGUCUUUUUUUUUUUGACUAGUUCAUUAUGUUUAUUGAUACCAAGGAAUAUGAUAAUAUUAAUUAUUAGGAUAUUAUGGCAUGUUUUUCAUGAUACAUCAUAUGUGAUGCGAGAGGCCUGUAAUGUCAAUGAUACAUCAUGUUUUUCUGUAUGGGUUUUUGCACCAUUUUCGAUUAUCAAUGAUAAUCUUUAGCAACAAAUCUAUUUUGAUAUUAAAUAUAAGAAGUAUGUGGAAACACGAGAUAUGUGACUCCAUUUUAUCGUUCAUAAUUUUUAUGUUACUUGCAAAUUUGCAAUCAACAUUCCACAUAAAAUUAGUCGAAGAUAUAAAUCAUUUAUAGAGAAUUAACUUGUCUACACAACUAUCAUAACGGUUGUGCUGAUUAGGGUCUCAC